rnacentral:rRNA from 1 species
AUUGAACGCUGGCGGCAUGCUUUACACAUGCAAGUCGAACGGCAGCACGGGGGCAACCCUGGUGGCGAGUGGCGAACGGGUGAGUAACACGUCGGAACGUGCCCAGUUGUGGGGGAUAACCUAUCGAGAGGUAGGCUAAUACCGCAUGAGCCCGGAAGAGGAAAGCGGGGGACCGGUAACGGCCUCGCGCGACUGGAGCGGCCGAUGUCCGAUUAGCUAGUUGGUGAGGUAAAGGCUUACCAAGGCGACGAUCGGUAGCUGGUCUGAGAGGAUGAUCAGCCACACUGGGACUGAGACACGGCCCAGACUCCUACGGGAGGCAGCAGUGGGGAAUUUUGGACAAUGGGGGCAACCCUGAUCCAGCCAUGCCGCGUGAGUGAAGAAGGCCUUCGGGUUGUAAAGCUCUUUCGGUGGGAACGAAACGGUCACGGUGAAUAUCCGUGAUCAAUGACGGUACUCACAGAAGAAGCACCGGCUAACUACGUGCCAGCAGCCGCGGUAAGAC